GAUAAACGCUGGCGGCGUGCCUAAUACAUGCAAGUCGAGCGAACAGACGAGGAGCUUGCUCCUCUGAUGUUAGCGGCGGACGGGUGAGUAACACGUGGAUAACCUACCUAUAAGACUGGGAUAACUUCGGGAAACCGGAGCUAAUACCGGAUAACAUGUUGAACCGCAUGGUUCAACAGUGAAAGACGGUCUUGCUGUCACUUAUAGAUGGAUCCGCGCCGCAUUAGCUAGUUGGUAAGGUAACGGCUUACCAAGGCAACGAUGCGUAGCCGACCUGAGAGGGUGAUCGGCCACACUGGAACUGAGACACGGUCCAGACUCCUACGGGAGGCAGCAGUAGGGAAUCUUCCGCAAUGGGCGAAAGCCUGACGGAGCAACGCCGCGUGAGUGAAGAAGGUCUUUGGAUCGUAAAACUCUGUUAUUAGGGAAGAACAAAUGUGUAAGUAACUAUGCACGUCUUGACGGUACCUAAUCAGAAAGCCACGGCUAACUACGUG
rnacentral:rRNA from 1 species